rnacentral:rRNA from 1 species
UUCCGGUUGACCCUGCCGGACCUCACUGCUAUCGGGGUGAGACUAAGCCAUGCAAGUCGAACGUUUCUAAGCCAUGGUAGAAACGUGGCAUACGGCUCAGUAAAACAUGGCUAACAUACCCUUAAGCCGGAGAUAACCCCGGGAAACUGGGGCUAAUAUCCGAUAGGUGAGGAUGCCUGGAAUGGCGCCUCACCCAAAGGCGUUGAGACCAUGCUUCUCAACGUCGCUUAAGGAUUGGGCUAUGUCCGAUCAGACAGUUGGUGAGGCAACGGCUCACCAAACCUAUAACCGGUACGGGCCGUGAGAGCGGGAGCCCGGAGAUGGACCCUGAGACAAGGGUCCAGGCCCUAUGGGGCGCAGCAGGCGCGAAAACUCCGCAAUGCGCGAAAGCGUGACGGGGUCACCCCGAGUGCUGUCUGCUGAAGACAGCUUUUCCUCGGUCUAACCAGCCGGGGGAAUAAGGGGAGGGCAAGUCUGGUGUCAGCCGCCGCGGUAAUACCAGCUCCCCGAGUGGUGAGGACGAUUAUUGGGCCUAAAGCGUCCGUAGCCGGCUUGGUAAGUUUCUCGUUAAAUCUGGCGAUUCAAUCGUCAGGCUGCGGGAGAUACUGCCAAGCUAGGAGGCGGAAGAGGCCGGCGAUACUUCUAGGGUAGGGGUGAGAUCCUAUAAUCCUAGGAGGACCACCAGUGGCGAAGGCGGCCGGCCACGACGCGCUCGACGGUGAGGGACGAAAGCUGGGGGAGCGAACCGGAUUAGAUACCCGGGUAGUCCCAGCCGUAAACGAUGCGGGCUAAGUGUCGGGAAUGGCUUUAAAGCCAUUCCCGUGCUGCACGGAAGACGCUAAGCCCGCCGCCUCGGGGAGUACAGCCGCAAUGCUGAAACUUAAAGGAAUUGGCGGGGGGAGCACCACAAAGGGUGAAGCUUGCGGUUUAAUUGGAUUCAACGCCGGGA